CAAGAUCGUAGUGAUUCAACAUAACAAGUCACAUGUUACAUCCAUUUCACAAGUAGUUUGAUAUACAUCAGAGUUCAAGAUAGUUAUUACAACUUGAGUUGAAAAGUAGCGGAAGCAAAGUAAUUUGAAACUAAUAUUGCCCUUAUUUCAAAUACAUGCCAGUAUCCAGGUCAACUCCAACAAAAGCAACAUAGAUGGGGUAACUAAGAAGGAUCAUGCCCAUGAUCUUACUCCUCUAAUAUGGUAGGAGUCAUCCAACUCUUGCAGUAGCCAUGAUACAUCACAACCUGCAACAAGUGGGAAUAAACCCUGAGUACGAGAAGGUACUCAGCUAGACUUACCCGUCAUAAACCAGAAAUAAUAUGACACCAAGGAGUAUGCA
rnacentral:lncRNA from 1 species